ensembl:misc_RNA 7SK 7SK RNA
UGAAGAGGGUGACCUGGCUAUGACAUCUGUCACUCCAUUAGGAUUAGUUCUGCCCAUUUGGCUGACUACAAGUGUGUCCCCUUUUUCCCCUCACCACUCCAUGAAUUCCUCCUGAAUCUUUGCAUUUGGUGGAAGAGGACAACCUUCCCCAACAAAGGAGAACAGUUCUUUCUGCUGUAAUGUAGCUGUGCACCUCUGCUGAAGCUUCCAAAAAAGUUUCAAGAUCCAGAUUAAAAGUUUUUUUUU